ACGCGGACAUUGCAGCUCCCUCCCUCUCAGCUUCAUUCAUAAAAAUACCACCAGAGAGAGAGACAGCGAGAGACAGAGGCGCUGCUGUAAACACAGGAACAUCUCGCUUGCUCGGCAACAGAUUUAGUUUCGAUGUUGUGUAGGAGAGGACUUUCAGUGGGCGUGGCCACGUGGUUUGGAACAACGUGAUUGGCAGAUCCGGUACCGCCCACCCGAGAGCGCCUUCUUGCUGCUUUUGUUCUCACACUGACAUCAUUUUGGAAAAAACUGCACACAAAACGCCGUCCAAGGCAUUUAAUACGAAUCAUCACUUUUAUAACGUUUUUAACCCUUUCAUGCACAACUACAUUUAGCACGUGACUGAUAAAAUGGACUGAUAAAAUGGUAUAGGUGUCCCUUGGAUGAACAUGUUAACAGCCUCCAUCAGAAACUUUUGAUUGCAUGUAAUUGUCAUAUUUUUAUUCUGAGUCAUAUUUGGAUUUUCUGUUGUUUUGUGAAAUAAAACUGGAAAAUUUGACAAGAAAA